UAUAUGAAGAUUUGAGGGUGUCAAAGUCUGGAAUGAGAGAAGGUUGAAUGAGGUUAGAUCUAUUAUAUCUCACAAUGUGGACAAAUGUUUGGUAAAUUUCUUGUAACUGCACAGCCCAUUGUCUAGAGGGCUUGUUCUGUCCACUGACCUCAGGCAAGGCACCAUCAGGAUCUGCUGUGUGGCUUGGUCAAGGCCAAGCAGGCUCUGUGCAUAAAAGACCAGUGGUCUGGAGUCAAAGAAAUGAGGGAAAUCAACAGAAUCCAGGAGGUUCAUCAGAAGGUCCAGGAAGCCAGAGAGAUUAACUUCAGGACAAAGAGAAGAGUUCCUGAAGAAAGACUGCUGCAGCCUGCAGAUCAGUAUCUCAAAUUUGGGUCUCCAGCUGCUGUUGGACUACAACUCCCAUUAUCCCUAGCUAGCAGAACCAGUGGUCAGGGUUGAUGGGAACUGUAGUCUGAAAACAGCUAGAGAUCCAAGUUUGGGAAACCCUGUUGUAGGUGCAAAUUAUAUUGCACCAGCCACUGCUACUUACAGCAUGUGUAGCUUGGCUACACAAAGCCCUAGCAUUGCUCUAUCCCUUGGUCUUUAUCCUCCAGCCUUUUUGCUAUGCUUAAUUUGCACUGGUGGGCAUCUUUUCUGUGUGUGAACUGAAAUAGAUGUGGUCAAAGUCAGGUGACCCUGGUAACCGGGAGAUCUCAGACUUCAUAGGAUGACUAGAGGAAAGCAAAAAAACCAACCCUCUCCAGUAGGGAUUUUAUCUCACAGUGGUUCUAAAAUUAUUAAUUUCGUGGUAGUAACCAUUAUGACCCCUGAGCCUGAUCAGCUUUCCAAUCUUUUUUUCCCUCUGAUUAGAAAUCUCAGGAGGGUGCACUGUACUCAACACUCAGCAAUACAUAAUUCUAUAAAGUCAACUUUCUUAUAACUAUGGUAAAAACAAAUAGAAAUCUGCCAGAAAGAACAAAGUAUUUCUAUUACUACCAUCAUUUUGACUUUAUACCCUUCAAAUAACCAGAAAUACACUUAGAAAGUUUCUAUGGUUUGAAACUUAGGAAAGCCAUCUCCAAAACCUGAGCAGAGGUCUCCUUGCAAAAGGAAGUUUGAAAAAGGUUUGACAGGCAACUACUAUCCACUUGUGUGUGUUUUUAGUGUAAACUUUUUCUCUUUUAUUUUUUACUGUGCUUGGCUCUUGGCAUUCCUACCACAGAAGUAAUCCAAGUGCAGGAGAUUAAUUGGACGCUCAUUAUAAAUUGCAGAUGGAGAUGGAGAAGAGAUUGUGUGUCUCAAGCCAGGUCACUAAGAGGGGUCUGUGCAUCCCUGGUGUGAGUUGGAACCUUAUCUUUCAGUAAUUGAGUCACCUUUGUUUAUUUCAGUACUUUACUUGCACUGGUUUGUCAUUGAAAACUGGGCAGAUAUGAAACUAACAGUUGCCUGUAAUUCCCAUUCCUGAUGCCAAAUAUCCUAGAAAGGGCAAGCUGAACUACUUAUGAAUUCCUGGCCCAAAGAGGCUGCCUGUAAUUUUUAGAAAUUGCAAGUGUAACUGGCAGCAGGAAUAUAACAUGAAUAUAAUAUGCCCAUGUCAUGCGUUGAUUAAAGGAAAACGAGUGCCCUUCAUAGCUUAUUGUCAAACCCGUGGUAAAAGUACCAGCCUUUUGCCCCAGCCACAAAUUUGGCUAGACCUCACAAGUGCAAUCCAAUUGCAUGGUCUCAGUUUAUCCAUAAAAGGGGUGGGUUCUGAAAAACAACACUAAGAUUGAUAUAAAUGCUUCUUUCUCUUUGGGGAAUUGUAGAUUCCUCAUCUACAAGGAUGCAGUGGGAGGGAUGCAGGAACUGCAUAAGGGAAAUCUACUCUUCUAAAUUGCCCAGUUCCACAUCCAUAGUUUUCAUUCCACUGAAUUGCUAAGCAACAAAUAUCUCCUUUUCUCAAUCAUUUCAAAUCAGUAUAACUAAACUGUGCCAUCAGCAGGUGUAGAAGCUGAGUGGUUCUAACCUGUAAUGCAAUUCCUGUAUUAGCAAAAGUGGUCAUUUACAGUUUGGAAAUACAGAUGUGAAGAGUGUGUGUGUGUGUGUGUGUGUGUGUGUGUGUGUGUGUGUACAUGUGUGUAUGCAUGCUCUCACACAUGCAUUAAGUCCUUCCUUUUACUAUAAUGAGUACCAGCCGUUUACAAAAAGCUCCCUGUAGCUCCAUGCUCACACAGCAAGACAGCUCUCACCUUGAUCAACAGCAUGGCAGAAUCCCCUCCUGCUGCUUUAGCGAUUUAUUUUCGCUGAGGUCUGCAGUUUGGGGCAGACUCAGGCAGUCAAUUAAGCAGCCAUCCAGGCUUCUCAGUACCAUCCUUCCAAGACUUGCAAUUUACUGUUAGACAGUUAGUAUUCUGUAAAGGUAGGAAGCAGAACAGAGAAGUAAGGGGUGGUUGGAGGGUGAGAUACAGACAGGAGAGAGCAUUCAGCUCUUGGGGAAUACCCAACACUGAAUUUUGCUACAGUGGCAUGGGUCUGACGAGAAAUAAAUUUACAAAGCAAUCCUUCCCACAUGCACACAUUGUGUGCCUUGCAAAAAGGCAAAAACUGCUGCUGCUGCUCAGAUAGAAUGAAUCUCCAAACCACAAUUUAGUUUCAGAGAGAGCAAGAGAGCGCUUCCUCGUCACUCACAUAGAAAAUUGCUCCUCAUCCUUUUGUUUCGCAAGUAAGGCUGAAAGCCUAUGGUCCCUAGGAGGGCAUCACAUGAGAUAACUCAGAUCUGCCCAUCUGACUUCUGACACAGAGAUUCAACAUCAAAGAGUUGAUGUCCCUCUCUGACAGCACCGGCUCCUUCAGUGCUCUGACCCGACUGAUUUCAGAGCUCCAGUGUUGAAAGGGCCAAUAGGGGUUGUGCUGAGAAGCAGUCGGGGUCCGAAGGAUCCUGAGCCCUCCCAGUCAGCUUCCAAGAGUCUCUAAACCUCUCUCUCCACUUUCUCUCCCUUUGGAAACAGUGGGAAGAAAUGUUAAACUAACAAGCAAACAAACCUGAGGUCUGGAAACAGAGCAAUAUAAAAGUUGCCUCUUCCCUCACUUCCAUCCUUCUGGCAAAGCCUGGUAGGGCAUUGGCUGAAGUAGUUAAACCACAUUUUGUUUCACACACACACACACCCUUAGGUUUGCAACCUAAGUGUCCCAGACCACUACUGCAGGAAGCUACCAUGUGGUCACCAAGCUGGAUCAUCCCAAAUGGAUUACUCCACAUAAAUUCUGCUUUCUGAAAACUCUCUGAACAAAAGUACUGCUAGUGAUUUGGCCAACACUUCAAAAAGGUGUGCUGGUUGUGUGUGUGUGUGUGUGUGUGUGUGUGUGCGUGAGAGAGAGAGAGAGAGAGUGUUUGGGUGAAAAAAAUCCACUGUGACUUGGGCUGCUUUUAAUUGCGCCAGCAAAAACACAUCCUUUUGCUUGGAUUGUGGGUUGGCUCACUUGCCAUGGCUUCUGGUAUUAUGCUGUUUACAGAAAUGGCAUGAAUAUCUAGUAGCAAGGGAUAGGGUUUAUUGCCAGGCUUAUACAUAUAAAUGCAUGCAAUGAAAUCCUGCCAUGAUCAUGACAGUAAAAACACAUGUGUAACUGCAUAGGAGGAAAUGACUCUGGGGAUGUGAUUGGGAAAGUGGGAAAGUGAUGGAUGAGUUUAGUGUUGAGUACCCCACUGGUUCUCUACUCCAAAUUGCUCCUUCUGAAUCUGUUUUUUUUUUUUCCCCCAUACAAGAAGCAGCUGCUGGGAUUUUAUUGCACAUUUGCAUGUAAAAUGCCCCUCUACCCUGAGCUUUAAAGAGAAAUUUGUCAAUGUUCCUGAGUUUUAUUUUCAGACCUGAAACAACUUAUCCUUCCCAACACUACUGGUAUUGAAACUUGCCAGAAGUCAGAAAUAUGAUUCCCUAUAUAAUUAAUUAGUUCAUUAAGAAAUUAAUUGCCUUAUACAAAAAAUCUCAAUGAAAUAAAUAAUGCACACAAAAUAUGAAAUAUACAAAUUUUUAAAACGCAAUAGCAGGAACCCACUACAACUGAUAGAAUUGUAUCUGUAAUUUGUAUUUUAGUUAUUGUGCAUUGCCUUCAAAAAUUUUGUGAAAGGUGAUGAAUAAGCGAAAUAAAUAAAACAAAUAAUAGUAGUAUAGGGAUUCAGUAGCUGAAAAUAGGAGUCAGGAAGGAAUCAUUUCAUAAUAACAAAGGAAGUCCAGAAUACCCGGAACUUGAGACAAAAUAGUUGGGGAUGGGGAUAGAUUUCUCUCUGGGUUUCAAGUGAGAAAUAUAUUAUUGUUCUAUUUUAACCCCUUGCUCAUUCCAGCUGGAAAUGUAGGAUCGGGGGGCGGGUAUCAGUAGGGAUCCAAAUAUACACACACACUUACUUCCCUUCUUUCUGAGGAACAUCCAUCACAAUGAAGGGAAAUUCUGGGACAAAGCACCUGAAAUAGAAGGUUUCUUUAAUAAUAAUAAUAAUUUUUUUUUUAAAGAAACUGCAAGCUCCUUCACCGUCCUCCCUUUUCUCAAACUGAGCUUCUCCGGUGAGGUACUUGCCAUUGAGGAAGGGAGAAGAAGCGAAGUUGAACUCUUGAGGUCCGUCCCCACCAAAUUAAGCACUUGUCUUCCUGACAGUUCCAGAUAGGUACUUUCAGUGGAUUUCAGACCUCAUACACAGAGUCCUACAUCACCCUCGGUUUAUAUGCUCAUCAAAUAAGAUUAUCCCUUGACAAUCGAAUUAUAAUAUCCCUAUUUUAUUAUACAAUAAUAAUUGUAUUAUUGCUACAAUGUUCCAAUGUAGCAACUUUGGAAAAGUGAGGUAAAACAUUUACCUAGGAGCAGGGUGGUAGGGGGGAGAGGAAGAGAAAAGGGUGCUUGGAUGUACUUGUCUACCAUUGUGGCUUGGUCCCUGGCCAAGGAUACAAAUUCCAUUUCCUCAUCCCUAGUGGCUGGUUUGCAAUCCAUUUUUUUUCAUGCAGAAAAGUUGUCAAAAGAUCACUUUCCCCCUUCACUUUGCCAUAGCGAAGUAGUCCUUCUGUAACAUGGCCUUCUGAAAUAAGCCCACAAUUUACUUUUAGCAUUUUUCAGAAUCUGGAUAAUUUUACUGUGAAAAGAUGCUAUUUUACCAGCCCAAAAAUGAAGGGAAAUUCAUUUUCUGGUGACUUUUGCAACUCAAGAGCACCCAUGGCUCUUUUCCCUGUGAUUUAAAGCUCCAUCCCUAGUAACUGUUGUUUAAAAUGAUGAGUCCUGGGAGAAACCAGGACUGGUAAAUGUGCUAUAAGGACAUCCUUGGAGUCCUCAUAGGAGUCCCAGUCUCCACUCAUGGUGAAUUCUACAGCUGUGUUCCAACACGAGGCAGAGAGGAGAGGCAGAUAAGUAGGCCAUGCCAGCUUCCCUGCCACCCCCUCCUAAACAAUGGUAUUAAGAGAGGUAUUUGGAUACCCAGAAAAUAUUUGCGGACAAAAGAAAUUUCAGCUAGGAAGGGAGGUAGCUUAGGAACGGAAAAGAGCAUCUUGUGAUGUAUCUGUUCCUUCCAACACUGGUCAGAUAUUAAGAAAGUCAAGGUGAAGGACAACUGGAAUAAUGGAUAAUUCAGUGAUAUCUGGACUGUAUAUCAGAACCACCAGUGCACCUGCAGAAAUACCUGGAGGUAUUGACUGAAAACCAUGAUGAGCAAGCAAGAUUUAAGUCUUUGUGUGACUUGGUGACUGCAAGCCAUACAUCUGCUCCUGGAAUGGAGUUAAGCUUCUGCUUUGGUGAUUCUCAUAAUUGUUGGCUCUUCUCAUCCCUUUGUCAGGACUUUUGGGAUGUGAGCACACCAACCCAGCAGAACUUUUGGUCUAUUGGGAAAGAAGCUAAACCACAUUCAUCCCCCCAUCCCCAAAGUGCAGAAUCCCUCAUCACUAACAUUGUUCUUCUGUGUCAAUGCCAUAUCUGCUCUUUAGCUUUGCUUUGGUUGGGUCAUUCACAUAAGUGUUGGGCUGAAUGCACUGUUUGGUUAUUGUAGAGUUGCUGAUAAACACUGUGCUACUGGCAGCAAUGUGUGUUUUUUUAGGAAAAGAAGACUCAAAUCUUAUGUUUUUUAAAGUAUACUUGUAAAAUAACAAAAAAACAAAAAAACAAAAACACAGGGUUUUCCUUAGACAGGAGAAGAUGGGCUGAAGCAGGAAACAGGAGAAAACUGUCAGACUUCAUGGCUGGAACAAAGGAGUAGGAAUCAAAAUUCCCCAGGCCCUCUGUCACUGACUCAUUAUGGCACCUUGGCCAACACUUUUAUCUGUUCUAUGCCCAAGCUUCUCCUCUGUGUAAUAUGAAAGUAUUCAGAGGCACUUUCAAAGAAAGCUUGCAUGGGAGUCACAAAGCUUUUAGCAUUCUCUAGUUAAUGAGAGAAUGGCGGGUGGUACUUGUUUUGGAGGAAUAAGAAUUAUUUAGUUUUUUUGUCCCUACUCUGGAAACUCAAAUGUUGCUUUUGUGCUUCCUGAGAGGAACUGAACAUCCUCAGUUCUCACUGGCCCCUGAACACUUCUGUUUUGUUUUCCAUUAAGGCCACCAGGUGUUCCUGGGAGUCAGAAAGAGCAAGUAACUUUAUGGUGGGGCAUUAUGGUGUUUCCACUCUUUCCUCUCGUGUGGUCCCUGCUUCCCUGUUUCCUUCCCCCCCUCACAGCCCUAAAAAAAAAAAAAAAGCUACAGCCUGUCACCGUGCCUGCGUGGUGAUUCAGAAGGGGACACCAGUUCCUCAAGACUGUAGGUGUAAUCGUGUUUGAUUGAUGGAAGUUUAACAUUUAGUGUUAUAAAAACAAAAAUACAAAAAAAAAGAUUGUAUUUCUUCUACAAGUUUGUAAAUAUACGAGAGUGACAUGAAAUGUCCUGUAACAUCCAUGCAAAGGAAGAAACACUUAGGUAUUAGAUGACCCAUUACUUGCUAGCAGAUUUCUAACCUUUCCCCAAGUGACUGAGGCUUAAAAGGAGUGGUAGGCUUGCCUCUUCCACAGCAUACCGAGAGAGCAUGGAGGCAGCCAUCUUGGAACAUGCGAACUCCAAGCAUGAUUGGAGCGCACCAUCAUUUGUAUGUGUCUUGCUAUGCAGCAAAAGAGUCAGCAACAUAUGCCUUUAAACUACCAAGGAGGUAGGUCUGAGGGUCACUGUGUACCUUGACAGCUUGAUUAUUUCCAUCCCACAGCCUUGGAGUUCGUAGAUCACAAAUCAAAAGCUCUCUCCCUAACAUGCUGUGUGCAUAUUUGAUCCUUUUAAGUGGUACGACUUCUGAAAGUCAAGGAUACAGUUUUGACACCAAUGAAGGCAAUGGGAGUUUGGUCAAUGACUUCAGUGGAAGUUAAGUUUUUAUGCCUUUAAUUCAGUAUUAACUAAGCAAAUGUCAUCGUUUUCAUCAUGCCUCUAGAUCACUAAAAAAAAAAGACAUAUAAUAUUUGAGGCCACACCAGCGUUUUCAGGGGAUUAACGGACAUUGAAUAACGGGGGCAGAGACAGGCUGAGAUGCCUUUGCUUUCAGCCACACCAAAGGAGACCUCCAUUCAUCAUCAUGUACUGUAAUUCCUUUAUACCUUCUCAUGAAAUAUUCCAAGUGAGUGGAAAGGACAUAACUCCUUCUGUACACUUGCUAGUACAAUCUGCUACAACAGUUCUAACUCCAACGAGUGCCACAGUUGACGUCCUCAUUGCACCUGAUAUCACACCAAACUACAAACAUCCAGAUGUCCUGUGAAUGUAAAUUUCUUGGUUGUUCCUUGUGGGAUGCGAGAUAUGGACGCUUUCAGUCUCCCUUUUGAGAGGGAAUAUAUAUUUCACUCUUGCUUCAAAUUCACAGAAACAUGGAAAUAAAUCUUUCACAGGAAUGAUGAUCGGAAAGGUUUCUGAAGUGGAAAGCAUGUGGUUUCUGGAGAAUAAAAUUUUGGUCAGGUGUUCAGUGACUUUAAAAAACAACAACUAUGCAAGACUGUAACCCUUGCAUGCAUAUGCAUUAACAAAAGGUGAUUGAAGAGGGGAGAGGGAAAGGAAAUACCCAAGUUUUUGUUUGUUUGUUUAUAGAGAUAUACAAGGAUGCCAUCUGUUCAUGGGCUACAUAGAGAAUUUUCCCCUCUUGUGAAUGACAAGUAUGUGUAUUUCAGAGAGGCUGCAUUUAUCUGUCCCUUUAAAGAUCUGAAGACAUACAGUGAUCCUGAUGGGAAAAUGUGAUAUCUUUAAAUGCUUAGUUAUUACUGUGGAUGUUAAUCUUAGCAAAUAAACCAGAAUCUGUGAAAGGCAUCUUCCUCUCUUGAGAAGUAAUUAGCCAGUGGUGGUAGAGAAGGAAAGUCACAUGUUAGAAGGACAGGAAUAACUUGAGCCAGUCCAAGGCAAGGCUGUCCACCAAGCACGUCAACAGAACCAGUCAAUGCAGAACUUAUUUCCCCUAAGUGAUGUGGUGCCAUCAGUUAAUUGAGAUGCCAUCCUCCAAGCACCACAAAAGAAACCUUCACAAGUUAUGCUACAGAAUGCAUCCUACCCCACCCUACAUUUUUAAAUGUAGAUGACAUGGUAAACAAAAAGCCAUUUUGAAUUCAGAUGCUAGUUCCUGGAAAUAAAGGUAUAUAAUUAAGUGUGCGAAACAAUUGGCCUUGUGAAUUAACCAUGCACACUGCCCUGUUCAUGUAUGCCAGGUAUAAUAGAUACCACCCUGAGUUCUUUGACGAAAGGGUGAAAUGAAAAUGUAAAAUAAAAUAUAAAAUGCCGCUCAGUGCGAUAUCUUGAUAGGGUUGCAGGAAAUUCAAAAAAGUAUCGAGCAUCUCCUAUGAAAGUGACUUGUGGGGUUAGAAAUAUGUCCUCUGCCUUGGUUGCUUCUGUAAUUCCUAGUAGCGCAAUUAACUCCUAGGGGUUGGAUCCAGAGUGUUAGAUCCCACUGAAAUUAAUCGGACUUCUGUUGAGUCAUGGUUUAACUUGUCCCAUUCAUUUUAAUGGGACCCAAGGACAACAAAUGUCAUCUAGAUCCAACCCUAUGUGAAACAACCAUAACCUACACGGAACAACAAUAUGCAAGGAACAUGGCCACCUAACUACUUUUCACUGAAAGCCUAUCUCAAACUAGAGUGUUUUCCUUCUUCUGAAGUUGUUUCAUUUGCUCCCCACUUUGGUCAAAGGCAGACAUGCACUUGCACGGCAACACAUGCAGAUCCCACCACCACAACCCCUUCUGCUUCCUGAACUAUGACCAUCCCAUUACCUCGCCCUCCUUCUCCACCUUCCCCCAUGGCACAUGCAACCUGAUACAGACUUGCUGGACGUGCUGUAUAAUAAAAGUCAUAAGCUUUGUGGCUUGUGGUGAGCUCCUGCUAACAAGAAAAGGGUUAUGCAGACCAGGGCAGGGAGAGGGUGGUAAAGUUGUCUCCAGCAACUACCGGCCUUUCCCAUUCCCCCAUCUGCAGCCAAAUUUUUCCUUUGGGUCUCGGGGAGAAUAUUCAGUCCCUUCUUGCUGCACUGCUGGGCAGUUAGAAUUCUCCUCAUUAACAGUGUUAUAUACAUAUAAAUAUAUAUAUAUAUCUAUAUCUUUAUAUAUAUUUUUCCCCAGCACCGUAGACAUGAUCUGAACUUCUCUUUAAUGAAAACGAAAACACGGCCAUUCUAUUUUAUUUUGUUUUGUUUUAUUUCUGUCAGUUUUUCAACAAACAAACAAACCUAGGUCUGUGGAAGAAAAUUUUUUAAAGCGCAGUGUGUGUGUAAAAACAAAAAAUGAC